rnacentral:misc_RNA from 1 species
GGCAUCUGUUCUGCAAGAAAAGGGAAGCCUAUUGGAGUUGGUGGAUCCAGCCUUGGGCUCAGAUUAUUCAUCAGAAGAAGCAAUGGUGAUGCUGAAUGUGGCUCUCCUCUGCACCAACGCAUCCCCAACUCUGCGGCCUCUAAUGUCCCAAGUCGUCAGCAUGCUCGAAGGUCGAACUCCAGUGCAAGCACUUCUUUCUGACCCAGG